rnacentral:tRNA from 1 species
GCGGGUGUAGCUCAAUGGUAGAGCAGCAGCCUUCCAAGCUGACGAUGGGGGUUCGAUUCCCCUCACCCGCUCCA